rnacentral:misc_RNA from 1 species
GGCCGGGCAGCGGCGAUGGUUGUGUCGGCGACGACGGCCGAGAUACCGAAGAAGAAGCGGCAGGAUAAGGCGUUCGUUGACGAGAUGCGGGUUGUCGCGAUGAAGCUGCAUACGAGGGACCAGGCCAGGGAGGGGGAGAAGGAGUCGACGGCGCCGCCGGUGGCGAAGUGGGAGCCGUCCGUGGAGGGGUACCUCAGAUUUCUCGUCGACAGCAAGCUGGUGUACGAGACGCUCGAUAGGAUAAUCCAGACGGCUCCUCAUCCAUGGUAUGCUGAGUUCAGGAAUACAGGCUUGGAAAGGACAGAGAAAUUGGUAAAAGAUUUGGAGUGGUUUAAAG